GACGAACGCUGGCGGCGUGCCUAAUACAUGCAAGUCGAGGGACCGGCGCACGGGAGAGUAACACGUAUCCAACCCGCCCUUUACUCGGGGACAGCCUUGCGCAAGAAAGAUUAAUACCCGAUAUAAAGGAUGGGGAUGCGUUCCAGUAGGUUGUUGGUGAGGUAACGGCUCACCAAGCCUUCGAUGGAUAGGGGUUCUGAGAGGAAGGUCCCCCACAUCGGAACUAGGACACAGUCCCAUCUCCUACGCGACGCAGCGGUGAGGAAUAUUGGUCGCUGGACGCUGGCCUGAACCAGCCGAGUAACGUGAAGGAUGAUGGCUUCUUGGUCGUAAACUUCUGAUAUAUAAGAAUAUGUAUUAUAUGAAUAAGGAUCGGCUAACUCCGUGCCAGCCGCCGCGGUAAUUC
rnacentral:rRNA from 1 species